UUUCCAGCAAAGGUGAAGAGAGGAAGAACUUCAUCUUCUCAAAAGUUCCAUAAUCUUUCAAGUGCCAUAACUUGUUCGUUUUUACUCCGAUUCGAGUGAUUUUUACGGCCACGGAAAGAGGAGGACGAUAGCUACGGAUUGACCUAAAAAAAUCAAAACUUGACGAGGCGACUACCAAUGGAACCCGGAACUUACAAAACGCGAUAUUGCUUAGCUGUUAUCGAAGGAUAUGGAUAGCCAGCGUGUGUUUUUCAGGUACCUAGAUUCUAGACGUGGCUAGAAGUCCGUCUCUGACCAGAAGUCAAUGUUCCAAUAAACAGUUCCGACUUCCAUGUCUGCUGCAGUAGUAUAAUGUCUGACUAGUGUCAUGGCCUAGUAGAACAGUAAAAAUUGUAUGUUGUUUAUAGUUGCUGUCUGUUGUGCAUAUUUUGGUUUGGCUACAAUAGUUAUGUUUUGUACCACGGAGGUAGAUUCUCGUGAUGUAACUUUGACACUAGUAGUUUAUGCCGGGCUAGUACGUAUAUGAUACGGAAAUGAUAAGUCCGAGCAAGUUGUAUGAUUUUUACCAGUGUAUAAAUGUGUUUUUGUUUAAA